rnacentral:rRNA from 1 species
UACGUAGGGGGCAAGCGUUGUCCGGAAUCAUUGGGCGUAAAGCGCGCGCAGGCGGUCAUUUAAGUCUGGUGUUUAAUCCUGGGGCUCAACCCCAGUUCGCAUCGGAAACUGGAUGACUUGAGUGUAGGAGAGGAAAGUGGAAUUCCACGUGUAGCGGUGAAAUGCGUAGAGAUGUGGAGGAACACCAGUGGCGAAGGCGACUUUCUGGCCUAUAACUGACGCUGAGGAGCGAAAGCGUGGGGAGCGAACAGG